ensembl:snRNA U1 U1 spliceosomal RNA
AUACUUACCUGGCAGGGGAGAUGUUGUGAUCACGAAGGUGAUUUUCCCUGGGCGAGGCUUAUCUACCGCACUCCAAAUGUGCUGAUCCUUGCGAUUUCCCCAAAUGUGGGAAACUUGACUGAAUAAUUUGUGGUGGUGGUGGGGGACUGUAUUCGCGCUCUCCCCUG